AACGAACGCUGGCGGCAGGCCUAACACAUGCAAGUCGAACGAAGGCUUCGGCCUUAGUGGCGCACGGGUGCGUAACGCGUGGGAAUCUGCCCUUGGGUUCGGAAUAACGGUUAGAAAUGACUGAUAAUACCGGAUGAUGUCGUAAGACCAAAGAUUUAUCGCCCAAGGAUGAGCCCGCGUAGGAUUAGCUAGUUGGCGGGGUAAAGGCCCACCAAGGCGACGAUCCUUAGCUGGUCUGAGAGGAUGAUCCGCCACACUGGGACUGAGACACGGCCCAGACUCCUACGGGAGGCAGCAGUGGGGAAUAUUGGACAAUGGGCGAAAGCCUGAUCCAGCAAUGCCGCGUGAGUGAUGAAGGCCUUAGGGUUGUAAAGCUCUUUUACCCGGGAUGAUAAUGACAGUACCGGGAGAAUAAGCUCCGGCUAACUUCGUGCCAGCCGCCGCGGUAAAAC
rnacentral:rRNA from 1 species